rnacentral:rRNA from 1 species
AUCCAGGCCCUACGGGGCGCAGCAGGCGCGAAAACUUUACAAUGCGGGCAACCGUGAUAAGGGAACCUCGAGUGCCUGUAAAUGCAGGCUGUUCAGGUGCCUAAAACACACCUGAAGAAAGGGCCGGGCAAGACCGGUGCCAGCCGCCGCGGUAAUACCGGCGGCUCGAGUGGUGGCCGCUUUUAUUGGGCUUAAAGCGUUCGUAGCUGGGUUGUUAAGUCUCUUGGGAAAUCUGGCGGCUUAACCGUCAGGCGUCUAAGGGAUACUGGCAAUCUUGGAACCGGGAGAGGUGAGGGGUACUUCGGGGGUAGGAGUGAAAUCCUGUAAUCCUCGAGGGACCACCUGUGGCGAAGGCGCCUCACCAGAACGGCUUCGACAGUGAGGGACGAAAGCUGGGGGAGCAAACCGGAUUAGAUACCCGGGUAGUCCCAGCCGUAAACUAUGCGCGUUAGGUGUAUCGGUGACCACGAGUUACCGAGGUGCCGAAGGGAAACC